UACGGGGGGGGUAAGCGUUGUUCGGAAUUACUGGGCGUAAAGGGCGCGUAGGCGGCGUAUCAAGUCAGGCGUGAAAGCCCCGGGCUCAACCUGGGAAUGGCGCUUGGGACUGGUAUGCUUGAAUUCGGGAGAGGAUAGCGGAAUUCCCGGUGUAGCGGUGAAAUGCGCAGAUAUCGGGAGGAACACCAGUGGCGAAGGCGGCACUCUGGGCCGGUACUGACGCUGAGGAGCGAAAGCGUGGGGAGCGAACAGG
rnacentral:rRNA from 1 species